UACGAAGGGGACUAGCGUUGUUCGGAAUCACUGGGCGUAAAGCGCACGUAGGCGGAUUUGUAAGUCAGGGGUGAAAUCCCGGGGCUCAACCUCGGAACUGCCUUUGAUACUGCGAAUCUUGAGUCCGAUAGAGGUGGGUGGAAUUCUUAGUGUAGAGGUGAAAUUCGUAGAUAUUAGGAAGAACACCGGUGGCGAAGGCGGCCCACUGGAUCGGUACUGACGCUGAGACACGAAAGCGUGGGUAGCAAACAGG
rnacentral:rRNA from 1 species